AAACCAACAGGGAUUGCCUUAGUAACGGCGAGUGAAGCGGCAAAAGCUCAAAUUUGAAAUCUGGCGCCUUCGGUGUCCGAGUUGUAAUUUGAAGAAGGUAACUUUGGAGUUGGCUCUUGUCUAUGUUCCUUGGAACAGGACGUCACAGAGGGUGAGAAUCCCGUGCGAUGAGAUGCCCAAUUCUAUGUAAAGUGCUUUCGAAGAGUCGAGUUGUUUGGGAAUGCAGCUCUAAGUGGGUGGUAAAUUCCAUCUAAAGCUAAAUAUUGGCGAGAGACCGAUAGCGAACAAGUACAGUGAUGGAAAGAUGAAAAGAACUUUGAAAAGAGAGUGAAAAAGUACGUGAAAUUGUUGAAAGGGAAGGGCUUGAGAUCAGACUUGGUAUUUUGCGAUCCUUUCCUUCUUGGUUGGGUUCUCCGCAGCUUACUGGGCCAGCAUCGGUUUGGAUGGUAGGAUAAUGAUUAAGGAAUGUGGCUCUACUUCGGUGGAGUGUUAUAGCCUUGGU
rnacentral:rRNA from 1 species